GAGCUCCGCGGUCCGGCCGAGAGGGCGGGAGCGGCCCGGGCAGGGCGCGGGCGUCACUGAGGUAAAGCGGCCGGGCCCGGGCCGAGGCGCUGCGAACGGGAUAGAGCUGCCGCCGUCCUAACUCCUGAGCAGGCAAUGGCGAUUUUAUUGCCUUAUUUAUUUAUUUAGGAUAGCUGUCUCACAGAGCUGUAGAGCUCUGUUGGUCCUGUUGAGAUUUACAGCCGGUUCUGGUCAGCAUCUGUCGUGACUGCUGAUCCUUGCUUCAUGGCGAGGGCUGGGGCUCCUUCGCACUACACCAGCACAGUAGUGACAUCCAGUUUAUAGUCUGCAUCAUUUAUCAGGCGUAACACAUGCAAAAGUCACAAUUACACACGCGUUUCACCCGUAUACAUUUGACCCCAGACCAAGAGCAGAUCCCAAGUCACCGAGUCAUUCUGCAUCUUACUGAGGAGAUUUAAGGGCACCAGCCUGCAUUACCGUAUUUGGACACCGGUUUCAUUUUUGCCGAAUUGCCUGUGGUGAAGAAACAUGAGCACUGAUGCAGCGACCUUUUACAAGAAAUUUCUGCCAAUCUUUAUAACCCUCAGUGACUACAGCGAUAGAAAAGAAUGUAUUCCUUUGAAUUCAGUGGGACUGUGCAAGGGUUCUCAAGACUGAUGGCUUCCAGGAGGCGGUGAGAGUGUGCAGUGAACCAUGAGCAUCCAGAGACUUGUGCCACGGGACUGAGAACUUGGUGUUUAUGGUUUCUUCUUUCUCUCCUUCUCCUCUUUUGGAUUAACCUGGGUCUGUUUUUACAUGCUUUCAAAUUAGGUUUUUGCCACCCAACACUACGGGGACAGGCAGCUUCUUUUAGGGACCCUUGGCAGAGUGAGGCCUGGCCACGGGGUUGAGGUUAUAAUUAUAAUUUAUAAUUACAAAAGUAGCAAUCAGCAUAGCUUAUUGUUAUUUACAAUUUUUAUUGAUCAGCAUAGCUUAUUGUUAUAAAGAAUUUCUAGUAAUUAGUGUAACUUUCUUGUUACCUAGAAUUAUUGGGCACCCUGACUUUUUAAUCACAUGGACCCUCUGCAGAUUGGGUUAAAUUCUUAAUAAUAAACUCAUGAUGCAAUAGUCACAAUCUAGACUCAGAAUUCAGCUAAAAGAACACGAGUCAUUUACUCAGUCCCCAGAAGAAGCAGACGAUCCUGGAGACAUCCCUGACCAGCAGGGGAUCACAGGUUUUACAGUCCACCAGCAGUUCCAGUCUCAGUCCUACUUGAGACGUGCAGCUUCUUGGAUUUAUAGGCAGCGUCUCACGUGCUGUAAUGCUUCUCUGUUCUGUAACGGGUGUCAUCACGUCUGGCAAUCCAGCGCCUUGGUGUUAACACUGAUGGACAAACGACCUCAUCACAAUGCCGACAGGAGGCUUCUCUGUUCUGUAACAGGGAUCACCACAUCCUGGUGACAACCCUGGUGGGCAAAUGUUUUUAUUACAAUGCCAAAAAGAAGGGGAGGAAGCCGGGGUAUUAGGUGACCAGUCACCUUACAUAUAAUAGACAUUUGCCUUACAAAAUGGCAUUGGUUAUGCUAACCCUAUUACCAGGUGUCUGGAGCAGGGGGUACUUGUCACAGUUUUACACCUUCCUUUUUCUUCACUGGCCUGCAACUACAUAUAGUGCAUUUUAUUUAUGUUAGAUACUUGUUCUCUGCUCUUGUUUUUACCCCUAAAUUAGUUUUGUCCAGCUCCAGGUCUGCAUUUUUUAACUGCCAAUUGGCAAGUUGUUUAUAGCCUUAGCACCUCCAGCGCCAGUCUGUGCCCCAUCCAUCUUAGCAUCCAUGCAUGUACUCCCCUCUGCUGCACCUGGUGUCUCAAGGUCGCUGCUAUCCUAACGGGCCUUUAUUACAAUUUCACAUUUUGUUAGAGUCAUAAAUAUAUAAUUCUACACAGAAUAACUUACUGUUAAUAGCUAUAUAAAAACUGUGGUUAUUACCAUACAAAGCAAAGUAAAACAAAUUAGCCAUAGUCUCCUGUCAUUAGAAAAAUUGUUACAGCAAAAUCAAGUAAGACCAAAACUCCAAGAUCAGCAAAUUCAGACAAAGUAAAGCUGAUAAGCCUCCAUCCAGAGGUUCUGUAAAAUCAGGACAAAGGACCGUUAGUAGCAAGUUAGUAGCAAGGACUACAAGGACCGCAAGGACUGUUAGUAGCAAUAGCAAUACUGUAUUACUGGGCUACAUGGUGUCAUAGAGGCCCCAAUGACACACAGAUUGCAGAAACAUGAAAUUAAGCUAGCUAUUGCACCAAAUCCAGAGAUUUUAAAAAACUAUGCUUUCAAGUGUGGAUGGAUAUCUCCAUAGUGAUUCUGUUUUCCAGAGCAAAGUUGGUCAAUUAAUACUAGCAGGAGAGAUUCAUGGACACUUGCUUAAGGCAUUCAGGUAAAAUGCUAAAGAUUCCCAGAUUACACAAAGAAAAAGAAGGGUCUGUUUAAUUUUAAUUAAGUACAGAUGGUUAUUACCUUGCAAUUCUGGACUAGUAUUUUUAUGUUGCAUACUGUAUGUAACAAUAGAGGUAAGGAUUUCCACAAAGGGCACAGGAAGGAAGCAGGAAUAGUGCUGACUCAAAAACGAACUAUUGCAAUCUCAACUCAUUGGUUUUAUAAGAGCAGUCCAUAGUCCAUGCAUGCUCAGCUCACACAAUCUGGGUGUGCACACUGCAAACAAGGUCAUAAAAACCUGACAGAACAGUCCCUGAUGAACUGGGAGGCCACGCUAGAAUAGCAUAAUGACUACUCCUUUCACAGUUUAUUUUAAGGAAGUGUGAAAUAUUAAACAUCUUACAGAAUAAAUAUUCUCCAAGUGUAGAACAGGAUAGUUAUUUGAGCUUCUGCCUAGUCAUAGAAUAAAGACUGUUUAAAGAAGUGUGCCAUGUCAUCUGUUUAACGCAUAUAUUCAUGUCAGAAAGUAAUGAGCAUUUGGCUUUGAAAAUAUAAUUUUAAUCAAUUUCUUCAUCAGUAUGGUCCAUCACGUUGUUCAGAAAUGGCUUCUUUCAGUAAAUGGAUCGUGAAUCAAUAGUAGAUAUAAAUAAAGCAGUACAAAGGGCACAUCAUUCAACAAGCUGCCAAUUGUUGUUGCAGAAGAUGGCAGAAAUCAGUAUCCCGAGAUGGAUACACUACAUCAGAAACUGGCAGAUAAUACACAAAGACACCACCUUUUAACAGAAACUCAGGAUUUCUUUUCUCCUAAGAACUACUGAAAUACACGUCAAAUUUCACGUGUUUUAUAUGAGACAUCGGUCCAAGAUGGAGUUUGGUCUGAAGUCUGUUUUUCACUAAACAUUUGCAAGCUCACCCCUCUUAGAAAUUGCAGAGUUCUUGAAAUAUAGAGAAUGAAUUGUCAGGCUGCCAAAGAUCUUUCUGGAGCCAAUAAAAAAAAAUAUCUGCAGGCUUUGUAUUAUACUUCAAAGGAUCAGUUAUUGAGAUAUACCAAUAACUGCAAUUCCUGUAAAGUGAAUAGUGGUGUUAGUCAGCAAUUUUUAGGAUUUGGCCCACAACAGAGAGAGGAAUAAAAACAGUUCUCUCAAGCAGACAAAUCAUAAAGAACUUGUAUUAGUUAUUCAUAUCAGGACAAUCUUAUUUAAAUGCCUCUAAGAAGAAUUUAGAAUACGAUUCGUGUUGUGUCUGUCAUAAACGUUAAUUAUUAAUGAAUAAAUACGUAAUCUGGGACCUAGCUAAUAUUUCCAGCCCAUUUAUGUGAAUAGAUGUUUUCAACUGUGAGAAUACCCAGUGCCAGGAACUGAACAUCCUUAGGUAUUUCAGAAUUACUAACUGUACACAUUAUAUUAAUCUGAAAAAUCCUAUUACUCUCGUAUCAAAACUAUGAGCUUUAUACCCGUUCAGAGAAUGUGAUUCUCAUAGUAUAGCUUGAGCUUGCAGAUUACACCUUCAGCUAUGUUUUAUUAAAAAUAAGGAUAAGGACAAAAUAUUUGUAAAUACUGAUCCACAAUGCACAAGCAAGCAUGCACACUAAGCAUGAGGUUUUACAUCUUUUCCAGAAUAAUUUAUUUUUAAACUGGAAUUCUGGAUAAUUGCUGUAAACCAUAUAGAUGUCUAAUUUCACUUUGAAACCUUUUAAAUUACUGACUUAAAAAAACGUGAUGCAGUAGCAAAGGAGAAACUUGACUCAGGUUAAAUACACUUGAAUCAGUUUUGAACUUGCCAUGUUUUAAUGUAACCGUUUUGUUCUCACUGCCUUGUGACACAGAAUUUGCCAUUGCUAUCUUAAUGCCAUCUGUUAAUAAUAUUCAUUACAAUACUGCAUAGGGGUCAGCUGGGACUAGGACCCCAAAUGGGCUAGCACAGUGUAUAUAACAAAUAUAAGCUCGUCUGUGCCUCAGGUUCAGUAUAUAAAAAGGUGAAAUGACGUAGCACAGGCAGAAAGAACAAUGAGACGAUGGCAUAUGUUGUAGCAUUUUUAUUUUUGUCUUCAUUUUAAAAUUCCAGUCCUUUUCCUGAGGCUCUGUUAUGAAAGAAUUGAACAGACAACAAGAUGAAGGUAACAAGGACGCAGAACAAGUUAUAGCAAGCAGCCCGUCAAAAGCACAUCUGAGGACAUUCAGAGUGCAAACUUCCAGAAAACAAUUCAGUGGUACUGCCCUGACUUCAGUUUCUAGAUGUGCCUCGCUAUUUCUUACUGCCAGGUCUGUAUAGGCUGUCUUAUUCAGUCCUACGUUUAGUCCUACUGCUACCUGAAAGUCCUGCCUCUACAUAUGCUGGAUGAGGGGGGGUAGCCUUUGAUAUUUAGUAGCUACUAUCUGAAAGGCUAAAAAUUCAGUGAAUUUGUGCUUUCACUAUCUUUGUGAACUAGAAAGCAUUUCUAUUUUAUAGAUGGAAAGCAGAAAGGCAAUAAUUAAGUAUCUGACUCAGGAAAUUGGGUAACAAAUAAUUACAGCUACAGCAUUCUUUCUUUUUAAUCCGUAAACUUCCCUUCCUCAAGUGUACUUUACCACAGCUAAUACAGUAAUAUUUUGUCGUUAUUUUGAAGUAACAAAUGUAUGCACAACCUUACUAGUAAAAUUCCUUCCAAAAAAAAAAAGGCAAAAAACCCUUCCAAAUGAGACAUUUUCAUUGGAUCAAUCUUAAUUAUUUUAAGAAUACUUCAGGUGAGUAUAUAUAUAAAACACAUG